CCCAGACAAACACACACCACUCCUUCAGACAAACACACACCACUCCUUCAGACAAACACACACCACUCUUUCAGACAAACACACAACACUCCCAGACAAACACACAACACUCCCAAACAAACACACACCACUCCUUCAGACAAACACACAACACUCCCAGACAAACACACAACACUCCUUCAGACAAACACACAACACUCCCAGACAAACACACACCACUCCUUCAGACAAACACACACCACUCCUUCAGACAACACUCCCAGACAAACACACACCACUCCUUCAGACAAACACACACCACUCCUUCAGACAACACUCCCAGACAAAACACACACCACUCCUUCAGACAAACACACAACACUCCCAGACAAACACACACCACUCCUUCAGACAAACACACAACACUCCCAGACAAACACACAACACUCCCAGACAAACACACAACACUCCCAGACAAAACACACACCACUCCUUCAGACAAACACACACCACUCCCAGACAAACACACACCACUCCUUCAGACAAACACACACCACUCCUUCAGACAAACACACACCACUCCCAGACAAACACACACCACUCCUUCAGACAAACACACAACACUCCCAGACAAACACACACCACUCCUUCAGACAAACACACACCACUCCUUCAGACAAACACACACCACUCCUUCAGACAAACACACACCAUUCCUUCAGACACACACACCACUCCUUCAGACAAACACACACCACUCCUUCAGACAAACACACACCACUCCCAGACAAACACACACCACUCCCAGAGAAACACACACCACUCCUUCAGACAAACACACACCACUCCCAGACAAACACACACCACUCCUUCAGACAAACACACAACACUCCCAGACAAACACACACCACUCCUUCAGACAAACACACACCACUCCUUCAGACAAACACACACCACUCCUUCAGACAAACACACACCACUCCUUCAGACAAACACACAACACUCCCAGACAAACACACACCACUCCUUCAGACAAACACACACCACUCCCAGACAAACACACACCACUCCCAGACAAACACACACCACUCCUUCAGACAAACACACACCACUCCUUCAGACAAACACACACCACUCCUUCAGACAAACACACACCACUCCUUCAGACAAACACACACCACUCCUUCAGACAAACACACAACACUCCCAGACAAACACACAACACUCCCAGACAAACACACAACACUCCCAGACAAACACACAACACUCCUUCAGACAAACACACAACACUCCCAGACAAACACACACCACUCCUUCAGACAAACACACAACUCUCCCAGACAAACACACACCAUUCCUUCAGACAAACACACAACACUCCCAGACAUAUUAUUGAACUCCUCGAUAAAUGAUCAGCUCAAUGUCUAUUCCACCGAGAAGCCAAAUAUUGACUCUGGUCUCACACCUGCAUUUUCAAUGAUAGGGUAUCUCAUUAAAAGAGAAAGGUCCAAAGUUCAAGAGCACCCUGUAGGACUGAAAUCCUGGGGGGCGGGACGGCUGGAGUAG
rnacentral:lncRNA from 1 species